CAAAUAGUACUGUUACCUACUCGGUAUUAUAUAAAGAAUUCUAAUGAUAACACAUACACGUUACAUAUAUGAUAUAUCAUUUACGAGUGUGUUGUUGUCUCUGAUACAAAAAUAAUGAAAACAUUACACUCUUUACUAGAUGUUAGUGUAAAAAGUAAACGUAAGCAGAAAGUGCAGACCGACAGAAGGGGAGGGGUCCGAUGAUCAGUUCCGCGAAUCAGCGCAUUUGCAUACAACGUGCGAAGGAAGUGGGGUCAGUGACCGCGACCAGCUUGCGAAUGCCGGCCGGCGAAGGAAGUACUUUGGAUCAAAGGGCUCUUUCAUGACCAUGUCCAUUGUGCGCUCGAUUUGGUGACGGUUUGUCGCCCGGCCCGCGCCCAGAGUACCUAUUGGCUGUAAUAGAGAAGGGAAGGAAGUAUGCUCAAUAUAAUAGAAUUUAAUUUCGUGUCCAAAGGGCCUGAAUAUAAUGAUCAUGACCCCAAACUACAAGAGUAUAUAGAUUCCAACACAAACAGCAAGUCGGACCCUGCUCCUGUAGCCAAGGCCAAGAGACACUUGCCGGGCCGGAUUGCAGCCAGCCUCGCUACAACCGGGACCUGACAAUCACCACAGGAUUGCAUCGGAUGGUCUCACACAACCUCACUCACAUACUCUACAGCACACACAUUCAACCGAUGCACCGUCGUAUGCGCAGGUAAUAAAACCGUCAACCUUGAUGGCUUGUUGUGGAGCAUCGUAAGCAGCACUUGUAUCGUGUAUAGUGAUGUACACGUCACGUAGCCAUCAAUCUCUUGAUGAACUUCUCAGCAUUGACUCCUUCCAAUGAAGUAUUUAUUGCCAGAAAAGAUUUACGACUUUUAUAUGCACUUUCUUUGCAUUCUUUGGUUAUUAUUGAAGAUUUUCCUCACUUGUUCAUAGCUUUGCUAUUGGAAAAUAAAAUUCUAUUUGUUAAUUUACUUUGUUGUAUUGUCUUUCUUAUUAAAAAAUAUUCAGGAUCUUUUAAUUUAAUUACCGAGUAGAAUAACUUCAUCACUUUUAAUAAA